CUUACAUAUUGCUACUUUUAUUGCAAGAUCAGAAACUAUGCCUGAAAGUAUCUGUAGAACAUCUAUUCUCUCAGAAUUUAAUCCACUGCAAAUAACUCACUCCUUUCCAGAUAACUCACCAGAAGCCCCUGCCAUCUCUUUCCUGAUGUGUCCAACAACAGAGAUUUCUCAGUCUUGUAAGGUUGUGUCAGGAUCAGAACUGUCCUUUUCCUGCUGGAAAAAGAGCUCCUCAGAAACUAAAAUGGAAAGAAGUUUUUUCAAGUGGUAAGAGAAAUUUUCCAUUGGUGGCAUCUGGUCCAUGCUUCCCUAGCAAAGUAAACUGUGCUAUGCACAAAUCUUGGUUAUGUUGAUGUAAUGCCUCCAGGGUUUUGACCUGUCCCCAGCAGACAAGAGUGGCAUUUACAUGAAGUG
ensembl:lncRNA